rnacentral:rRNA from 1 species
AGGGUUUGAUUCUGGCUCAGGACGAACGCUGGCGGCGCGCCUAACACAUGCAAGUCGAACGGAGCUGAGAGGAGCUUGCUUUUCUUAGCUUAGUGGCGAACGGGUGAGUAACGCGUGAGUAACCUGCCCUGGAGUGGGGGACAACAGUUGGAAACGACUGCUAAUACCGCAUAAGCCCACGGUACCGCAUGGUACUGAGGGAAAAGGAUUUAUUCGCUCUAGGAUGGACUCGCGUCCAAUUAGCUAGUUGGUGAGGUAACGGCCCACCAAGGCGACGAUUGGUAGCCGGACUGAGAGGUUGAACGGCCACAUUGGGACUGAGACACGGCCCAG